UAGGGAAUCUUCCACAAUGGGCGCAAGCCUGAUGGAGCAACACCGCGUGAGUGAAGAAGGGUUUCGGCUCGUAAAGCUCUGUUGUUGGAGAAGAACGUGCGUGAGAGUAACUGUUCACGCAGUGACGGUAUCCAACCAGAAAGUCACGGCUAACUACGUGCCAGCAGCCGCGGUAAUACGUAGGUGGCAAGCGUUAUCCGGAUUUAUUGGGCGUAAAGCGAGCGCAGGCGGUUGCUUAGGUCUGAUGUGAAAGCCUUCGGCUUAACCGAAGAAGUGCAUCGGAAACCGGGCGACUUGAGUGCAGAAGAGGACAGUGGAACUCCAUGUGUAGCGGUGGAAUGCGUAAAUCUAUGGAAGAACACCAGUGGCGAAGGCGGCUGUCUGGUCUGCAACUGACGCUGAGGCUCGAAAGCAUGGGUAGCGAACAGGAUUAGAUACCCUGGUAGUCCAUGCCGUAAACGAUGAGUGCUAAGUGUUGGAGGGUUUCCGCCCUUCAGUGCCGGAGCUAACGCAUUAAGCACUCCGCCUGGGGAGUACGACCACACGGUUG
rnacentral:rRNA from 1 species